GGCUCAGAACGAACGCUGGCGGCGCGCCUAAUACAUGCAAGUCGAGCGAGAAGGUGUAGCAAUACACUUGUAAAGCGGCGAACGGGUGAGGAAUACAUGGGUAACCUACCCUCGAGUGGGGAAUAACUAGCCGAAAGGUUAGCUAAUACCGCAUAUGACUCUCGAUCUUCGGAUCGGGAGGGGAAGCGAUACCGUGGGUAUCGCGCUCUUGGAUGGGCUCAUGUCCUAUCAGCUUGUUGGUGAGGUAACGGCUCACCAAGGCUUCGACGGGUAGCUGGUCUGAGAGGACGAUCAGCCACACUGGCACUGCGACACGGGCCAGACUCCUACGGGAGGCAGCAGUAAGGAAUAUUGCGCAAUGGGCGACAGCCUGACGCAGCGACGCCGCGUGGGGGAUGAAGGUCUUCGGAUUGUAAACCCCUUUCGGCAGGGAAGAUGGAACGGGUAACCGUUCGGACGGUACCUGCAGAAGCAGCCACGGCUAACUUCGUGCCAGCAGCCGCGGUAAUACGAAGGUGGCAAGCGUUGUUCGGAUUCACUGGGCGUACAGGGAGCGUAGGCGGUUGGGUAAGCCCUCCGUGAAAUCUCCGGGCCUAACCCGGAAAGUGCAGAGGGGACUGCUCGGCUAGAGGAUGGGAGAGGAGCGCGGAAUUCCCGGUGUAGCGGUGAAAUGCGUAGAGA
rnacentral:rRNA from 1 species